AAUUCAUAGCAGAUGCUGCUGCACACUGGGUGAGGACGGAGCAUAUACUUAAUACAGGAUGCGAUUAGCAGAGGAAGAUGACCUUUCUAGCAGGCUGGAGUUAACACCCAGAGUCUGAGCCACCCACUAAUGACCCGCUCAUUAUCACAACAAACAAAUCAAAUGCCAGUGUGAAAUGCAACACAUGCAGAGGGCACUGUGUUGACACCUUUCUGUACUUCAUGAUGCAAGGUGAUUCCGUUCAGUCUCAGGGUUUGCAAUCUCAUGAAUCUGAUUUACAGACGUAAUAUUUAAAGACAACAGCAACAAACGCCAUCUUUGAAGGACCGUGCUUCCUUCAAAGAAUCAGGAUGCCCAUGAGAGACCAAAGCAGUCUCUUGGCCCCUAGACAUGCCCUCCAGGAACAACCUGGCUGUGAGCGGAGAGUUUAAUAGGCAAGAAGGAAGGGAGAAGACAGAAGGAAGAUGCUCCCCCAUACAGAGACAGGGGGAGGGGGGCUCCAAAGCCGAAAAGAGGAGGUCCCCAAGUACUGUGGACACCAGCCAGGUAUAUAUAUGCAGAGGCUGGAGGAGGCAAUGUCUGAUUUGCAUAGGGCUCAGGGGAGAGAUGAAAACACAAAUAAUAUGGAAGAUGGGAACCCUCAGGCCUACCUCAACUUAAAAAUGGGUGUAAUAACAGUACCAGCCUUCUAGCAUUGUUACAGAGAUUAAAUGUGAUCAUGCAUUCAAGGGCUUAGCACAGGGCCAGGCUGCUGGGAAAGGCUUGAUGAUAAUAUUGGUAAUAAAACCUGUUA
rnacentral:antisense_RNA from 1 species